rnacentral:rRNA from 1 species
CCUACGGGAGGCAGCAGUGAGGCAUCUUUGACAAUGGGCGCGAGCCUGAUCCAGCCACGUCGCGUGAGGGAUGAAUGCCCUACGGGUUGUAAACUUCUUUUAUAAGGGAGUAAAGUGAGGCAAGUGUGCCUUUUUGUAUGUACUUUUUGAAUCAGGUACGGCUAACUCCGUGCCAGCAGACGAGGUAAUACGGAGGAUCCGAGCGUGAGCCGGAUUUAUUGGGUUUAAAGGGUGCGUAGGCGGUUCGAAAAGUCAGCGGUAAAAGCCCGGUGCUAAACCCCGGCAAGCCGUUGAAACUGUCGGACUAGAGACGGCGAGAGGUACGCGGAAUGCGCGGUGUAGCGGUGAAAUGCAUAGAUAUCGGGCAGAACUCCGAUGGCGAAGGCAGCUUACUGGCGCCGGACUGACGCUGAGGCACGAAAGCGUGGGUAGCGAACAGGAUUAGAUACCCGAGUAGUC